CAGUCGCCGCGGUAAUACGAAGGGGGCUAGCGUUGUUCGGAUUUACUGGGCGUAAAGGGCGCGUAGGCGGACUGAUAAGUCAGGGGUGAAAUCCCAAGGCCCAACCUUGGAACUGCCUUUGAUACUGUUUGUCUUGAGUUCGAGAGAGGUAAGUGGAACUGCGAGUGUAGAGGUGAAAUUCGUAGAUAUUCGCAAGAACACCAGUGGCGAAGGCGGCUUACUGGCUCGAAACUGACGCUGAGGCGCGAAAGCGUGGGGAGCAAACAGGAUUAGAUACCCGAGUAGUCCCUGUCUCUUAUAC
rnacentral:rRNA from 1 species